rnacentral:lncRNA from 1 species
GAUCGAAAGAUGGGUUUAUCAUCAUCAUAGUUCUUACCCAGGCACCACCAUGCCACCGCCAUUCACCACCAUAACCACCACAACCACCGCAACUGCCGUCGCCACACAACCACCACCACAACCAUCCGGAAGGAGACAGAGGAGGUUCAAUGGUCGCCGGAGAGGAUGACCGGAGACGGAGAUGUGGAUCUAAUUAAUUUAUCAACAGCGUGCACAUCCCCACCAUGCUACAUCCAUCAAACAAACAAACAAGUGAGAUGUCAGAUCUGAUCUGAUUAAUUUACAAGUGAGUGGGGGUAAUGGAUAUAAUUGAUAUAGUUCUCCGUUCUUUAGAUCUGACAUCAUUUUCAAAAACAAAUUGAUAUAGUUCUUCGUUGUUUAGAUCUGACAUCAAAUCUCCGGCAACCUCAUCUCACUCCGACCAUUUCAAAGGCGGUUCAAUCUGAUUGCUUGACGGAAGACCAAAAAAGGUAAAGAAUCAUGGGUAUUGUCUCUUGAUUCUUAAUUUCAAGUGGGUGCUGAUUAUGCCUUUGAUUUUGUUGUUAAAAAUACAUUUUUAAUUUCAAGUGGGUGUUGAUCCCACAUUGAUUCUUAAUUUCAAGUUGCAAUUUGAUUUCUUUAAUGUUAUAACCUGAACAGAAAAAGGUAAAGAAUCAUGGUUAUUUGAACUGAUACCCAGAUGUUGUUU